rnacentral:lncRNA from 1 species
GGUGGUGGCGGCGGAGCGUCUCCGUGAGGAGGUGCGCGGGGCCAUGACGUCAGCGUCCACCAAGGUUGGAGAGAUCUUUUCCGCGGCCGGCGCCGCCUUCACGAAGCUCGGGGAGUUGACGAUGCAGCUGCAUCCAGUAUCGGACUCUUCCCCUGCCGGUGCCAAGUGGACGGAGACGGAGAUAGAGAUGCUGAGGGCUGCUGUGAAGCGAUUUGGGGACGAUCUUAAUCACAUCAGCUGUGUCAUCAAGGAACGGACAGUGUGAGGGAGGGUGGUUGGCAGAGAAAGGGGAGGGUGGGCAACUUUCUUCCUCCUUACCCAUUGUUCUUUCUCAGAACUCCCAGCUCAGCAUCUUUCCUACUUUGUUCCUAGUUUUGUUAGCAUUUCCUUGAAGACUGAAAGACCAUAAAUGUGGCAGUUGGUUGGAAGUUCAGGAAAUGCAGUGGUCACUAGGAAGGACCUGCAGAGAAUUUUAUUUUCAGGGUGCCCCAGAUACACAAUGGGUGUGUUUGAUGGUGAGGGUUCCUUGGCUAUUUAUAUAAAUCCUUUGAGACUCGCAUGUCCAGGGAUGCAUUCUGAACUAAUUAGCUGGACAGGUUCUAUGAGAAAGUCUCAGUCUGCCUCUCUGUCACCACAGCGUACCUGGUGGCCCUACAAAUCCAUACAUCUCCCAGAGAAUCAUGAAAAGGGCCUUUCUGGCCACUCAGUUCAGGAACUCCAUUCUUCAUAACCAGUUAUCCCUA